GACGUAGGGCGCGAGCGUUGUCCGGAAUUAUUGGGCGUAAAGAGCUCGUAGGCGGUUUGUCGCGUCUGCUGUGAAAACUCGGGGCUUAACUCCGGGCCUGCAGUGGGUACGGGCAGACUAGAGUGCGGUAGGGGAGACUGGAAUUCCUGGUGUAGCGGUGAAAUGCGCAGAUAUCAGGAGGAACACCGGUGGCGAAGGCGGGUCUCUGGGCCGACAUUGACGCUGAGGAGCGAAAGCGUGGGGAGCGAACAGG
rnacentral:rRNA from 1 species